rnacentral:rRNA from 1 species
UACGGGGGGGGCAAGCGUUGUUCGGAAUUACUGGGCGUAAAGGGUUCGUAGGUGGCCAACUCAGUCAGACGUGAAAUCCCUCAGCUCAACUGGGGAACUGCGUCUGAUACUAGAUGGCUUGAGUGCAGGAGAGGAACGCGGAAUUCCAGGUGUAGCGGUGAAAUGCGUGGAUAUCUGGAGGAACACCGGUGGCGAAGGCGGCGUUCUGGACUGCAACUGACACUGAGGAACGAAAGCCAGGGGAGCAAACGGG